UAAAUAAUUUAUUUUCUAGAUUUAAUUGUAUUUAUUUAAUUGUAUAUUUACAUUUGAUAUUUAUUUAUACUUAUAUUUAUUAUGUUUAUCCUUAAGUUUAUAAUAUAUAAAUAUAGAUUUAUAUAAUAGAUUAUUCAUAAAUAUUAAAUUUAUUUUCUAUAUCAGUCAGCUAUUCUUCUAGUAAAAAGCUCUAACUGACACCAAAAUGAGUUAGAAGUGUAAAUGGACUAAAUGCAUGGACACAUCAAAAAUGGGAAUUUUGUUUUAAAAAUAUUACUAUCACUUUUUCAAAUGCCAAGAUAACAUAUCUAGUUUAAUAAAAUUUUCUACCUUUUUGUUUACCAAUUUAUAAUCAGCUAGCAUUUAUUGCCUAACACUAGGUUGACACAUUGUUGUAAAGCCAUCUACUUUGCCAACAAUAUGUUAUUUCUUAAUUAAUUGCUUUAUAUAUGCAUUCAGUUAUCCAACUAAUAGAGAUAGGAAAAUUAGUCACUUAUUGUUCAUUUUCUUGAAAUUGUAAUCAAUAAGAGAAAAUUCAUUUUCUUACAUAACAAUUAAGAAGAGGAGACAGAUAUGUUAGGAACUAGUUGUAAGAUAGAGUGAUGAACGUUAAUCACGUAUGUAUGUGUCACUUCUUAAAUCUGAUAUGGUUUGGCUAUGUCCCUGCUCAAAUCUCUUCUUGAACAGUAGUUCCCAUAAUCCCCCUGUGUUGUAGGAGGGACAUGGUGGGAGGUAAUUGAAUCAUGGGGUGGUUACCCCCAUGUUGCUAUUCUCGUGAUAGUGUGUUCUCAAAAGAUCUGAUGAUUUUAUAAUGGGCUUUUUCCCUACCUUCACUCUGCAGUUCUCCUGGCUGCUGCUGUGUGAAGAAGGACAUGUUUGCUUCCCCUUCUGCCAUGAUUGUAAGAUUCCUGAGGCUUCCCCAUCCCUGAAGAAUUGUUCUGGGACACAUGUACAGAUCAUGCAGUAUUGUUGCAUAAGUACACACAUGGCAAUGUGGUUUGCUGCCUCCAUCCCCCCAUCACCUAUAUCUGGCAUUUCUCCCCAUGUUAUCCCUCCCCAACCUUCCUACCCCCCACUGACCCUCCCUUACCCCCUGCAACAGCCUCAGUGUGUGAUGCUCCUCUCCCUGUGUCCAUGUGUUCUCAUUGUUCAUCACCUGCCUAUGAGUGGGAACACGCGGUGUGUGAUUUUCUGUUCUUGGGUUAGUUUGCUGAGAAUUAUGGUCAACAGUAAACGUCUCUCUUAUGCAUAGUAAGCAUGUGAAACUUUUGGUGUUGGUUUUGAAAUAACAUGAGGGGUUUUUGUUUAUUUGCCUGCUUGCAUGUUUGUUCCUAAGACUCAGUAUUAGCCUGGAUGAAGUUUUUUCUUCCAAAUAGUGAAAAAGGGUGAAUGUAUCACUUUAUUCCUUACCAAAAUCAUUCAACAGGAAACGGAGGGACACAAAGGUUAAGUAAUUUGACAGUUAGCCCAGCAAAUUGCCUUCUGAACAUUACCAUCUGUAUUUCCUGGUAUGCAUGUAAAGAUGUACAGUGUCUCUUUAAGAUAAAAUGACUUCACUUUAGUGGAUAAAAGUACACAGGCACAUCAGCAUCAACACAUCUAUACUUUGCUCAUGCUUUGUUUAUUUCAUCUGAAUUUUUAACAUUUUAAAGGGAGGUUGAUUGAAACAUUUUAUUUUCCUGUGUCAUUUUUCAUACAUUCUAUAGAUACUCUCAGUAUCAUUUCAUUUCUUCUUAAAAUCAGCUUGAUUCCCUAGGAAUUAGGUUACUCUCAUUUCUGAGAGACUGGAUUUCCAGAGAGUAUACAGUCAGGGUCGUUUUUAAAAAAAUUAAUCUUCCAAACCUCCACUGUCUCUAAGUAUUUUUAAGUAUUCUAUAAAUAUUCCAUAUGUAUUCUUUCCUAAAAUCAUUCCCACCUAAAAAUACACCCUGCUGUCUGUUCUUUAUUUAGCACAACUCUGUUCAUCAUUACCUUUACCUCACUUCACACACACAAAAAAAGAAGAACAAAGAAAAGAAUGCACACUUCCCUCUCUCCUUAAACCAAAGGAUGGUGCACUGCUCUAUGGAGUGUAUAAAGCUCUGUGGCAUCAACCAAAGACACAGAUGGAGAAUAUAUAGCUCUUGAAAAAGUGUAAGAGGAACCAAAUAUGAAGAAGUCUUUGUUAUGAGAUAAUAACAGGGCCAACACUUAUUCAUCUAAGGCAUGCUUUAUACUAAUGCUCGUCUUUCCAUUCCAUCUGUCUGUCUGUC
rnacentral:lncRNA from 13 species